rnacentral:rRNA from 1 species
GACGAACGCUGGCGGCGUGCCUAAUACAUGCCAGUUGAGCGAUGAAGCUUGGUGCUUGCCCCAAUUUGAAGAGCAGCGAACGGGUGAGUAACGCGUGGGGAAUCUGCCUUUGAGCGGGGGACAACAUUUGGAAACGAAUGCUAAUACCGCAUAACAACUUUAAACAUAAGUUUUAAGUUUGAAAGAUGCAAUUGCAUCACUCAAAGAUGAUCCCGCGUUGUAUUAGCUAGUUGGUGAGGUAAAGGCUCACCAAGGCGAUGAUACAUAGCCGACCUGAGAGGGUGAUCGGCCACAUUGGGACUGAGACACGGCCCAAACUCCUACGGGAGGCAGCAGUAGGGAAUCUUCGGCAAUGGACGAAAGUCUGACCGAGCAACGCCGCGUGAGUGAAGAAGGUUUUCGGAUCGUAAAACUCUGUUGGUAGAGAAGAACGUUGGUGAGAGUGGAAAGCUCAUCAAGUGACGGUAACUACCCAGAAAGGGGCGGCUAACUACGUG